UCAGUGGACCUGAGCAGAUCCCUCCAGUUACCUCAGUAGUGCGCAGCAGUGUGCGGAGAUCCCUGGGGCUCCCUGGAUAUAGCUCUCCUGUUUGUCCACAGAUCUGGCUGCAGUUGUCUUUAGAGAAUAAUGGCCUCCUUUCUUUAGCUCUCCAAAGUGAGAUACAAGUGUGUCUCAUGACCUGGAACUGUUGAUGGCAGCAGAGAUGAGCUGAUGACAGCCUAUGCUGCUCCCCACAGCAGUCCUGAGAGUUCUUUCAAGAGACCUCCAUUCAGUUAAAGCUGAUUUUGUCACAGAAAAGAAUUUCAGAGUGGGCCAGUGUGGUAGUUUGAGAAUCAGGCUGUAACUGUCAGCUAUUGCUGACAUACAUCUGCCUGCAUGCCCCCGUGACCCCACUGUGAAGAAGAAGAUGACCUGAGCCACUGAAACUUCACAAAGAGCUCCUGAGUCUCGCUCAUAUGCAAAGGGAAGAUGGUGAGAACGAAGCUUCACUUUGUAGAGAUGAGGACAUCUACACAGGACUCUUCUGAAAGACAAAAAGUCCACCAUUUUAAUUACAGGACUUAAAAUUAACUUGAUAAGCUUCUCCUCCUGCUCCACACUGCUCCCAGCGGCUCCCUGGCUACACUGGGCUGGCUUGGCUGCUGUCCCCAGCCGCCACCACAAUCAUCUACUGGGACCUUAUCAGCCACAACAAGAUGUUCUCUGAUAUCUACAAGAUCCAGGAGACAGAGAAUGGGCUAUGCCUGGAGGAAAGAGGUCAAGACAGUCAGUAGAACAGAGGGUAAUAUUGAUGCCUCAAUACUGGUGGAACUCCUUCUGCUACAGAUAGAGGGCGGAGGUUCUGGAAGCACAGUUGAUGUCAUGAAACCACCACUAACGAGAAAACGGUGACACAAAAGUACAUCAAAGAUGACAUGAAAUAAUUCAAAGGCAAACUUGAAGAACAAACCCAGGAAGAAUGAAACUGUGAACACAGGAAUCCAGAUAGCAUGGUGUUCGCCCAGACUACUGUGAAGAUGGUGUGACUCCAUUUAUGCUUUCUUUAAAGGGUGCUUUAGAGAUGGAAAAAUGUUAACAAAUUGGGCGAUUACUUUGAAUCUAUCAUCUGUCAUCAUAUCUGGCUGGUGUUUGUCACCCAUAUAACACCAGGACUUUAGACAAAUGGGACUGAUGUCAUCUUGAGCUUUUAUUUUGCCCUUGACAUAUUUAGAGUUGAGGUAUUGCUUUGUAAGAAAAUAAAAAAAGAGUCGUUAGGUUGUCUUUAAA